UGGGAGGGCGCAGGCGCGGUGGGGUAAGGGGAGGGGGGCGGGAUUAGGGUCGCCGUGGCAACUGUUGGCGUGGAGACGGGGGGGGGGGUUGGAAAGCGGGGCGUUGCCAUGGCGACCGUCGGCACAACCGCAGCCCGGGCCUGUCAGCACAGCUCCUGUCACCGUGGCAACUGUCACCCUAAGAGGGAGCCAGGCCCGUCUCCAACAGCCACUGUCACCUGCACUGACAGCCAGGGCUGUUGUCAUGGCAGCUGUCACCCACAGCCACUGUCACCUGCAGUGACAGCCAGGCCUGUCGCCAUGGCAACUGUCACCCGUAAGUGGCAGCCCAGACCUGUCACCUACAGCUACAGUCACUCUAAAAGGCAGACAGCCCCAUCACCAUGGCAACUGUCACCCGUAAGUGGCAGUCAGGCCUGUCACCAACGGCCCGUCACCCGCAACAGGCAGUCUGGGCCUGUCGCCAUGGCAACCAUCACCCUAAGGGACAGCCAGGCCUGUCGCCAUGGCAACUGUCACCCACAGCUACUGUCACCCGUACUGACAACCGUGGCUGUUGUCACUGCAACUGUCACUCUAAAAGACAGCCAGACCUGUCACCACAGCAACUGUCACCCACAACAACAGCCGGACCUGUCACCACAUGGGGACACGGGGACAGACGGUGGGGACAUUGACGAGGAGCGUUCCCCACGUCCCCCUGCCUGCCGGUGUCCCCAUGGUGUCCCCACGUCCCACAUCAUCCCCCUGCCCCUCACUGUCCCCAUGUCCCGUGCUGUCCCCACGUCCCUUGGUGUCCCCACGUCCCCAUGA
rnacentral:lncRNA from 1 species